GUGAAUCAUCGAAUCUUUGAACGCACCUUGCGCUCCAUGGUAUUCCGUGGAGCAUGCCUGUUUGAGUGUCAUGAAAACAAUCAACCUUGGUUUUGGGGCAACCCUCGAUCUCGGCUUGGACUUGGGCGUUUGCCAUCUUCACGGGUGGCUCGCCUCAAAUGAAUUAGCUGGACCUGUUUGUGAGGAAUGGUUCUACUCGGCGUAAUAAGUAUUUCGCUGAGGACAUGGCUUCGGCUGUGGCCUUCCUCUCGACGAUCGUCUGCUUUCAAACCCUGUUCUCCUCGGAGACGCAUUUUUUAU
rnacentral:misc_RNA from 1 species